rnacentral:misc_RNA from 1 species
GAUGAAGAACGUAGCGAAAUGCGAUAAGUAAUGCGAAUUGCAGAAUUUCCGUGAAUCAUCGAAUCUUUGAACGCACAUUGCGCCCGCCAGUAUUCUGGCGGGCAUGCCUGUUCGAGCGUCAUUUCAACCAUCAAGCCCCAGGCUUGUGUUGGGGACCUGCGGCUGCCGCAGGCCCUGAAAACCAGUGGCGGGCUCGCUGUCACACCGGGCGUAGUAGAUUUUAUCUCGCUCAGGGCGUGCUGCGGGUUCCGGCCGUUAAAAAGCCUUUUUUACCCAAGGUUGACCUCGGAUCAGGUAGGAAGACCCGCUGAACUUAAGCAUAUCAUAAGCGGAGGA